AUGAACGCUAGCGACAGGCUUAACACAUGCAAGUCGAGGGGCAGCAUGGUCAGUAGCAAUACCGACUGAUGGCGACCGGCGCACGGGUGAGUAACGCGUAUGCAACCUGCCCUGUACAGGGGGAUAGCCCAUGGAAACGUGGAUUAAUAUCCCAUAGUAAUCAUGAUAGGCAUCUAUUUUGAUUUAAAUCUUCGGAGGUACAGGAUGGGCAUGCGUCCUAUUAGAUAGUUGGCGGGGUAACGGCCCACCAAGUCUUUGAUAGGUAGGGGUUCUGAGAGGAAGGUCCCCCACACUGGUACUGAGACACGGACCAGACUCCUACGGGAGGCAGCAGUGAGGAAUAUUGGUCAAUGGGCGAUAGCCUGAACCAGCCAAGUCGCGUGAGGGAAGACUGCCCUAUGGGUUGUAAACCUCUUUUGUAAGUGGAGAAUAAGCGUUACGUGUAGCGCGAUGACUGUAACUUACGAAUAAGCAUCGGCUAACUCCGUGCCAGCAGCCGCGGUAAUACGGAGGAUGCGAGCGUUAUCCGGAUUUAUUGGGUUUAAAGGGUGCGUAGGCGGCACUAUAAGUUAGUGGUAAAAUUUCCGGGCUUCACCCGGAUUCGCCAUUAAUACUGUAGAGCUCGAGUACAGACGAGGUAGGCGGAAUAAGUUAAGUAGCGGUGAAAUGCAUAGAUAUAACUUAGAACUCCGAUAGCGAAGGCAGCUUACCAGACUGUAACUGACGCUGAUGCACGAGAGCGUGGGUAUCGAACAGGAUUAGAUACCCUGGUAGUCCACGCCGUAAACGAUGCUCACCGGCCCUUAGCGAUAUAGAGUUAGGGGUUAAUCGAAAGAAUUAAGUGAGCCACCUGGGGAGUACGUCGGCAACGAUGAAACUCAAAGGAAUUGACGGGGGCCCGCACAAGCGGUGGAGUAUGUGGUUUAAUUCGAAGCAACGCGAAGAACCUUACCAGGCCUUGACAUCCCUUGCAGAGGUAUAGAGAUAUAUCCGAGGUUAUCAAGGAGACAGGUGGUGCAUGGUUGUCGUCAGCUCGUGCCGUGAGGUGUCGGGUUAAGUCCCAUAACGAGCGCAACCCUUAUCACUAGUUGCCAUCAGGUAAUGCUGGGCACUCUAUUGAGACUGCCACCGUAAGGUGAGAGGAAGGGGGGGAUGACGUCAAAUCAGCACGGCCCUUACACCCAGGGCGACACACGUGUUACAAUGGCCGGUACAGAGGGUCGCUACCUGGUGACAGGAUGCUAAUCUCGAAAUCCGGUCGUAGUUCGGAUUGGAGUCUGUAACCCGACUCCAUGAAGUUGGAUUCGCUAGUAAUCGCGCAUCAGCCAUGGCGCGGUGAAUACGUUCCCGGGCCUUGUACACACCGCCCGUCAAGCCAUGGAAGCCGGGAGUACCUGAAGUCCGUAACCGCAAGGAUCGGCCUAAGGUAAUACUGGUAACUGGGGCU
rnacentral:rRNA from 1 species